GACAUCUGUAAUAAUCUCAACAAUAAAAAUUAAGAAAAAGAAUUUGGAGGGACAGUGUUCAAAGGACAGUGCUAUAUAAAUUCAGUAUCUGGCAUCAUUGGUUUUCGCAGCUUUCAUGCAUGUUAAACCUGUUUGUUUUUUAACUGAU